UGGUAGUGAUGAGGACAACUAAUCAACAAAGAUUUAAAUCUAUCCCAAGAUUGGUAUAUAUUUUCUCCUCUUUUUUGAUUAAAACUCAAGAUCUCACUCCUUAGCUU